UACGGAAGGGGCUAGCGUUGUUCGGAAUUACUGGGCGUAAAGAGCGCGUAGGCGGCUUACCAAGUUGGGAGUGAAAUCCCGGAGCUCAACUCCGGAACUGCCUUCAAAACUGGUAGGCUCGAGUCCGGAGGAGGGGCGUGGAAUUCCCAGUGUAGAGGUGAAAUUCGUAGAUAUUUGGAAGAACACCGGUGGCGAAGGCGGCGCCCUGGUCCGGUACUGACGCUGAGGCGCGAAAGCGUGGGGAGCAAACAGG
rnacentral:rRNA from 1 species